GCUCCGGUAGUGUAGUCCGGCCAAAUUCAGCCAGAACUGGAGGUCAUUCAUGCAGGACUCUCACUCCUGCGACUGGGGUUCAAAUCCCCACCGGAGCA
rnacentral:tRNA from 1 species